UCGAGGAUUCGUCCAAGUGAAGCAGAGGACAGUGGCGGACGGGUGAGUAACGCGUGAGGAACCUGCCUUUCAGUGGGGGACAACAGUUGGAAACGACUGCUAAUACCGCAUGAAGCUUUUGGGAGACAUCUCCUGAAAGCCAAAGCUUAAUGUGCUGAAAGAUGGCCUCGCGUCUGAUUAGCUAGUUGGUGGGGUAACGGCCCACCUAGUCUUCGAUGGAUAGGGGUUCUGAGAGGAAGGUCCCCACAUUGGAACUGAGACACGGUCCAAACUCC
rnacentral:rRNA from 1 species